rnacentral:rRNA from 1 species
UACGUAGGGGGCUAGCGUUGUCCGGAAUCAUUGGGCGUAAAGCGCGCGUAGGCGGCCCGGUAAGUCCGCUGUGAAAGUCAAAGGCUCAACCUUUGAAUGUCAGCGGAUACUGCCGGGCUAGAGUCCGGAAGAGGCGAGUGGAACUCCUGGUGUAGCGGUGGAAUGCGCAGAUAUCAGGAAGAACACCAACGGCGAAGGCAGCUCGCUGGGACGGAACUGACGCUAAGGCGCGAAAGCCAGGGGAGCAAACGGGG